AAAUAAUGCAGGAUCGACGCACAUCUUUGAAGCCACAGACAAUUGAUGACAUCAUGUUCCUGCAUAGUAAUGUUCCAAAGUAAAAAGAAUUUGAAUCAGAAGCAAGCAGAAGAUGAAAAUAUUAUAUCUGAAGCCUAUAAGCUACUAUAAAAUCACAUUUCCUUCAACGCAAGAGUUACACAGCUCGGAUCAUGAGUGUCACUAGGAUUAAGAACAAACAACAGAUUCAACCAUUAACUUCCACAGUGACAAGUAGUGCAGUGGACUUGAAGCUUUACCUCGUGUCGGCUAUGUGCCAUGAAACAAGCUAAAGAACCCUACUUUUAAGAGCUUCCAGGACAGUGUCAGCAGCCGCAAUAUGCCACAAGUGUUGGCAUUUCACAAAAAUUAUUUGAGACAGGCCUAUGAAAAAAAGAGCUAUUGCUGGAGAUAAAAAAAGACAUU